GCCCUAGCCAAACCAUCCCAUAUGAUCCACAAACUCUUCACAAAUUAUCCUCAAGCCUGACACAACACAAGGCAUAACACCCAAAACUACCACAGGUAAAACAAGGGACUACAGCAAUCAAUGUUGUAGGCAAGCAGGGCUGGAAGGGACCUCCAGAGGUCUAGUCCAACCCCAUGCCAGAGGCACCUAGCCUGCAAAGGUGCUUACCCCCCCAGCCAGGGCCCAGAGCUACCCCAAGCCAAGAAGGUCCCCCCUCAACACAUCAAGGAAAGGAAUACUUAGUUUCCUUCAUGCUUGCUCUUUGUUUUGGCCUGACGUGACUUUCUGGCCACUUUGGGCUGUACCCACCUUCACAGAACAUCAGUGCCGUGAAGGGACAUUUGACGAGCAAGCUAGCAACCACUAGGAGUCCCAAACCAGGCGAGAUUCAACACAAAUAUAGACGGACAGGAUGCACUGGAACCACAGCUACCUCCAGCCCUGCUGACAAGAAAGGAGCUGUUCUUAAACCCACAGGAGCUUAAAAGAAACUGCAUGCCAACUCUGUGGGCACUAUAUUCUUCCCUGCAGAAGAAGAGAAGCUUGUGCAAGGGGGCUGUUAAUAACCCAGAGGAUUACAACUACCCUUAUCUGAAGCACUGUAAAGGCAGCUUCCAAUAUUCUCUUCUUCAGGGAAACACACUCUUUAAUUGUUCCAGAGAAACAUCAUCAUCCAGAGUAGAUGCUCUCUAUGAAUAGAAAGAAGUGCCUGUUUACUCUGAAAUAUUUGGCCCAAUGAAGAGAGUCUGGGGAAUGGAAGAAGUGGCUAUUAUUUUCCCACUGCGUGUGUGCAGCUGUCAUGUGUAAGCAACACAAUCUAAGCACAUCUCUGCUUCCUAAUCUUGCUGAUUAUCCCUUCUAAGAUGACAAAAAACAUGGCUUGCCACCAGAAUCUGUAAUUCCUGAACAUCUUGCUCCUUAUUACACAGCCAGAGAUAACUUCUGUUUUUAUUUAUUUUAGCAGAAAGGAUGGCUUCCCAAGGAGGCAUCAUUUGUCUAUGCAGUGAUGUCAUCUUGUUUGACCUCUGCUUUAAUCCAGGGAAUGCCUGCAUGUUGACUUCUGACCUGUUUAAGUAUGCUUGUGUUUAAAAGGACAGAUAGACUUAAUACAUCUUGUUGGGCAAACUGAAGUGUUGAUGGUGGUUAUUUUUAAAGAUAUUUACAUGUAACCGCUCCUCCAUCUGACAUUUUCACACUGUGAUACACCAAUAUGUUUUUUGCUGUCUAAGUAUAUCUCAAAGGCUCUCAUUUAAAAAUCUAAAACACUAUGUUACACAGCAAAAGUUUAUUUGUAUCCUAUCUACACUAGUCUUUGCCUGAUAGCUACGGCUAUGCCAUUUCUUCUACUGAAAAUUGAAUUUUUCAGAAACUUUAUAACUUGGCCAGAAAAAAAAAAUUCCAGAGGAAUACUUAUGGUAAAUAACACAUGUUCCCAAACUUAAGAGGCCUCCCAAAUCCGUAUUUACCUGACAGACCAUGAUGGUCCCAGUGCUGAGUAAAUAAUAUGCAUACCAAACUAUGUAUAACAUGCAUACCAAAAUGCAAAUGUAACCAGGUAAACAGAAUGCCUUUUAAAAAUGACUAAAUAUGGUAGAAAAUCAGCAGAGAGAAAAAGAGAGUCUCUAAAAAUGUUUUAUAAUUUUCCAUGUAAGAAUACUUUCUUUACAGGGAAGCAGUUUUAUUAAACAAAAGCUUAAGACAUGCAUUGAUGGACAAAAAAUGUUUAAAAGUAACAAACUAUCACAAAGCCAGGAAAUCCAAAGUUAAAGGCUAAGUCUCUUCUUAAGUCUCAUCAUACUGCAAACCAAAUAUACCAAUCCUCAUCUUGUUAUUUCUCUGAGAAAACUGACUUAAGGAGGAGUUGUUCUGCCCGCAGGCCUGAUUCUGGCCUUAAAAUGCUGUAAAGUGGGAGUAAACCCCUGGAGGUCAAAGGCAUUUAAAAGGCAUAAAUGGGAUCAGCAUCAGACCUUGUGGGAUUUGGCUUUGUGUUGUCCUUACACUGUAAUAAAUGACUCAUCAAAUGUUGUGGGUGUAUGUGUGCGGGAGCUGAGGUAAAUGGAAAGCAGAGUUAGUUCUUUUAUAACACUGUCCUUCAUUCUCCUAUCCUCAUAGACUGACAGCAUCUUAGAGACAUCCUGGAGUUGAUGUAUAAAAUAGUUAAAAUGCACUGAUUUUGACUUAUAUGCAGGUGUUUAUAUAGCAAAUGCUUUUUAGACAGUAUAUUUUUUCUGAAUUAGGAAUUCACUACAUUGGCAGCACAGACCUGUUUACACAGCUAUAUACGGUAUGUGUGUGUCUACAUCGGCUUUGGUUGGUACAGUUCCUUUGGUUAAGUCUUGUAAAAUGUACAGGUGUGGAUAUGCUGCAUUCCUUCCCUUAUGUUUUUCCUUCUUUUUUUUCAUUUCUCCCAAAAAAGUCACUUGAUCAGGUAUCAGACAUACUGAAAACCUGGCAAGACUACAGGAAAGUGGCUAGACUUGGAGUGUUUGUGUACUUAAAGAAAGAAUCUUGCACAUUUUCAACUUUCAGUCGCAGAUAUUUUCUUAUAAGAGCAAUUGGAGGUUUGAACCAGCCCUCAAAGCGGAAAUCAAAAGCUCCCAGAGAAACAUACCCAAGGAAUGUGAAUCUGCUCCAAAAACCAUACGCAAUGCACACACAGUACUGUCAGCCUUAUAGGAAGUCUGGCCGUAUAUGGACAUCUGUACCCUAAGCUAUUUAUCAACCUGAUGGUCUUGUAGUUGGCUGCAGAUAUUUCUAGCUUGCCUUAGGUUUAACAACGUUCAUUAAUUCCCCUCCCCAAAAGCUCACCAGAAUGUCUUUUAAAAAUCAUAAUAAACAUUACCUUAAAAUGCUAAGAGUACUAGUUAAACUUAUAUUAAUGUGUAUUUGCUCAAAAUAAAGACUGCAAGCAAGAUCUGCUGUGUUAGCUGUG